rnacentral:tRNA from 1 species
GAAGCCAGGGAGGCCUUGAAUGAGCAGAAUGGGAU